rnacentral:lncRNA from 1 species
AUCACAAACAUCUUAUAGCUUUGUUUCGCAAGAUCACCUAGAGAAGAUCUGAACAUCGAAGACGAAACCCUUUUUGGGCUCGUUAGUCGUGUACCAUUAUAGCCAUUCGUUGGCUAAUCUAGAAUAUAAUUGUACCUUCUCGCAAAGGCAGACACUUAAAUUCAUAUAAAUUAAAAUAUAUCUCGUUUUAAUUGUGCAUGUAUGUUGAAUUAGUGAUAAAAAUUAUAUAUACAAAUCAUUAGCAUGAAAAAUUAAUUGUGUCGAUCGUUACUCCCAAAUACUCCCAAAUCUCGCUAGUAUCAAUUGGUAUGCAUUUUGAUAUAUUAUAUGCCAGUUGCGUGCAUUGUAGUACUUUUUGCCUCAUCACUAACACCUCUUUGUAACGGAGCCGGCCUAGUGUGGACCUCUUGUUUUUUAAACCUGGCCAAAAAAGAAAACAUUGCGACAAUUUGAGUUCACCAUCCAGGUCCAUCACAAAAAGGCAUAAUUGGUAUUUACCGUAGAAUCCCCAAAGUGGCGCCCCCGGCGGUAAAUAUGAAGAAACAAAGAUAAUUUCACAGUAAUUAGUGCCUCAAUCCACGAAGUAGCGGUCCGCAAACAACAAAUAGGGAACUUUAGAGUUGACUACGGCUACGAGAUCUAGUACAACUACGAGAUUUUUCCGUUAAAUUUCUGCUCCUUGAGACUUGCUGUCGUUCUCUCUUUGGCAUGGCGCAUCUUUAAAACCGUAACACGUGAACCAAACUACAUUUUAAGCUUUUUGGAGCAGAUAUUUAACGAAAAAAUCUCGUAUAGUCGUACUAGAUCUCGUAGCCGUAGUCAAAUCUAAAGCUCCCUAAUAACUGAUGGGGGCGCUACUUUCCCAAUUAUAUGGUAUAUAAAGCUUCUUAAUCACGACAUUUAAAUGUGUUACCUUAGGGACCGGUCAUUAUUUAUGGUGGGGGGUGGCACCGAAGAGAAAAGGGUUGGGUAAACAAAAUUUUGAGGGAGUAAAAGGUUGGGUAAAUGAAAAAGAAAACAACUCAGGGGUUGGGUGAUAAAAAUUUAUUGCCAAUGCAUGAUUCACUGAAAUAUUGGAGACUGAGAAGCAACAGUCAUCAAUAUGGCAAGAUGUCAACAGUCGUAUGUCGAUCAAUACAAUAUGUGAAUCAAUCAGAAUCACUAUAUCUUGAUAAUUUCCCGAUUUUUUGGGAGGCAAAUGGUGUCUCCAAAAAAAGUACAUGUGCAGACAACAUGAAACUUUAGACUGCAGAAAAUUUCACAAUCCGUUAUCAAACUCAUGUCACAGAAGUGGUAAAGGACAUGUGUGACAACUGAAUGGUAUCCGUUUGUAACGUUUUUGGCCAGGGGUGGGUAUUUAUUUUUUAAUUGAUAUUUGAGGUUGGGUAAUCAAUUUUUUUACUUUUUAAUGGUUGGGUCAGCAAAAUUUUUGCCAAGAAAAACAUUUCUCCUCGGUGCCACCCCCCACCAUAAAUAAUGACCGGUCCCUUAGACCUAUUUUAGUCUUAACCAUUCGGACGUCUGAAACGGGCCUUAGAUUAAUUAUUAUUGCUCCUUAGGCCUGUUUCAAACGUCGCGCUUCUCAGGUGCCGAACGCAUUAGAAAUAGAUAAUGAGACAUUUCAGGGGCCGGUUGUAUAAAAAAGUGAUUAAAGUUAACUAUAGUUAGUGGAAACGUCAUCCAAUAAGAAGCGCGUAUUUGAGAGUUAAUCACUAUUUAACUACAAAAUAGUGAUUAAAAAGUAAUUAAGAGUUUUAUACAACCGGCCCCAGCUGAUUAUCUACUGUUUUUGAUGCGUUCGGCACAUGAGAAACGCGACGUUUGAAACAGGCCUUACACACGUAAAAACGCACAAGUUGUAACAUGCCUGGGGCAGGUUGUAUAAAACUCUUAAUCACUUUUUAAAUCACUAUUUUGUAGUUAAAUAGUGAUUUACUCUCAAAUACGCGCUUCCUAUUGGAAACGUUUCAACUAACUAUAGUUAACUUUAACUCACUUUUUUAUACAACCGGCCCCUGCAGCAGACUUGUAGCAAUGUUGUUACAACAACUUGGCAACAGGAUGUGUUCGCACUGCUUGUUCCCAGCUUGUUGACAAAUGACAAGAUGUCAACGGCUUAUCAUUGACAACUUGCUACAAGGUUGUUGAGCUCAAAAGACUUGAUACAGGUUGUUCCAACAAAUUGUUAUCGUCCUGCAUUGCAAUUCAAUAAUUUGUCAACAAGUUGUGAGUGAUAACCUUGUAGUUACAAGCUUGUUGCGAAAACAUCUUGUUGACAAAUUGUGAGGUUUUUACGUGUGUAGGCUAUGAAUUACGUGCAUUUUAAAUAACGAAAGUAACUGAACAGAUUCAGUACAGCGCAUGACUUAAGACAAAAGCAAAGCUUACGGACAAAAGCCAAAUGAAUGUCAAAGACACAUGGUCAGCUUUUGAUGUUGUUGCUGUUGUCGGAUUUGGUGGAUUUGACAAAACAAUCAAACUAUCUGGAUAAUUAGCGUUAAGUCCACACCACUUUUCAAAAUCCAGACCUAAAAAUUACGCAAAGAAAGUGUUCGUUAAAU